rnacentral:rRNA from 1 species
GYAWGURGCUUUAUUCCAAWWCCAMUUUUUUCCCAAAAGCCCCCYYUAAGGGWGWGAURRAUWUUUUUYKKRRRGRSCCUUAGAGUUUGAUCCUGGCUCAGAACGAACGCUGGCGGCGUGYUUAACACAUGCAAGUCGAACGUGAUCCAGAGCUUGCUCUGGUGAAAGUGGCGCACGGGUGAGUAACGCGUGGAUAACCUGCCCUGGUAUCUGGGAUAACAUCUCGAAAGGGGUGCUAAUACCGGAUAAGCCUACGGGAUCUUCGGAUUCUGCAGGAAAAGGAGGCCUCUAUUUAUAAGCUACCGUAUCAGGAUGAGUCCGCGUACCAUUAGCUAGUUGGUGGGGUAAUGGCCCACCAAGGCUACGAUGGUUAGCUGGUCUGGGAGGAUGAUCAGCCACACUGGAACUGAGACACGGUCCAGACUCCUACGGGAGGCAGCAGUGGGGAAUUUUGCGCAAUGGGGGAAACCCUGACGCAGCAACGCCGCGUGAGUGAUGAAGGCUUUCGGGUCGUAAAGCUCUGUCAGAGGGGAAGAAAUGAGUCUGGCUAAUAUCCAGAUUUCUUGACGGUACCCUCAAAGGAAGCACCGGCUAACUACGUGCCAGCAGCCGCGGUAAUAC